rnacentral:lncRNA from 1 species
UGUAAGUUGCAAAUGCAUUUAAUACAUCUUAUCCAAUAUCCAAGACAUCAUAGCUUAGCCCAGCUUACCUUAAAGGUUCUGAGAACACUUACAUUAGCCUACAGAUGAGCAGAAUUAUUUAUUACCGAACCCAUUUUAUAUAAAAUAUUGAAUAUCUCAUGUAUGUACACAGAUGGUCUUUUUGUAGCCAUGAUGGGAUGUUAAAACACAAAAUGGAAUAACCAAAGAAUACUAGCAACAUAGUACACUGUCUAGUUUUGGUUGUCUACUCUGAUAAUUGUGGGCUGACCAGAAGCAACAGCUUACUGCUGCUGUUCAGCAUCAUAAGAUAGUAUCAUACCACAUAUCACUGGCUCAAGAGGAGAUAAAACUUCAAAAUGUGAUUUCUACUGAAUACAUAUUGCUCUAACAUUAUUGAAAAGUUGAAAAAGAGUAAGCCAAACCAUCAUAGUAAAGAACUACCUUAUAUAAUUUUCCUUCUCAAAGAAGAACUUAUUUAAUUGUGGAACCAACCUACAUGCCUUUCAAUAGAUGAAUGGAUAAAAAAACUGUGGUAUAUAUACACAAUGGAAUGUUACUCAGCAUUAAAAGAGAAUAAAAUCAUGGCAUUUGCUGGUAAAUAGAUGGAGUUGGAGAGUAUUAUGCUAAGUGAAUUAAGCCAAUUCCAAAAAAACAAAUGCUGAAUGUUUUCUCUGAUAAGUAGUUGCUGACCCAUAAUAGGUGACGGGGAGAGCUUGGGAGGAAUUUUGGAUGAGACAAAGGAGAGAGAAGGGAAGGGAGGAUGCAUGGGGAUAGGAAAGAGGGUGGGAUGAGAUGGACAUCAUUACCCUAGGUGCAUGUAUGAAGUCACAAAUGGUGUUACUCUACUUUGUGUACAACCAGAGAAAUGAAAAAUUGUUCUCUUUGUACUAUGAAUUAAAAUGCUUUCUGCUGUUAUGUAUAACAAAAUAGAAUAAAUAGCUAUUUCUUUUUUUUUUUGGCCAUAGUAUUUUUAUUUUUUUUUAUUUAUUUUUUUAUUGGUUGUUCAAAACAUUAUAAAGCUAUUGACAU